GCGAUUGGCGCAGCCUACCAUGCAAGUCGAACGGUAGCACAGAGAGCUUGCUCUCGGGUGACGAGUGGCGGACGGGUGAGUAAUGUCUGGGAAACUGCCUGAUGGAGGGGGAUAACUACUGGAAACGGUAGCUAAUACCGCAUAACGUCGCAAGACCAAAGAGGGGGACCUUCGGGCCUCUUGCCAUCAGAUGUGCCCAGAUGGGAUUAGCUAGUAGGUGGGGUAACGGCUCACCUAGGCGACGAUCCCUAGCUGGUCUGAGAGGAUGACCAGCCACACUGGAACUGAGACACGGUCCAGACUCCUACGGGAGGCAGCAGUGGGGAAUAUUGCACAAUGGGCGCAAGCCUGAUGCAGCCAUGCCGCGUGUAUGAAGAAGGCCUUCGGGUUGUAAAGUAC
rnacentral:rRNA from 1 species